UACGUAGGGCGCAAGCGUUGUCCGGAAUUAUUGGGCGUAAAGAGCUCGUAGGUGGCUUGUCGCGUCGGGUGUGAAAGCUUGGGGCUUAACUCCAGGUCUGCACUCGAUACGGGCUGGCUAGAGGUAGGUAGGGGAGAACGGAAUUCCUGGUGUAGCGGUGAAAUGCGCAGAUAUCAGGAAGAACACCAAUGGCGAAAGCAGCUCUCUGGGACGGUACUGACGCUGAGACGCGAAAGCGUGGGGAGCGAACAGG
rnacentral:rRNA from 1 species